AUUGAACGCUGGCGGCAGGCCUAACACAUGCAAGUCGAAUGGUAACAGGAAACAGCUUGCUGUUUCGCUGACGAGUGGCGGACGGGUGAGUAAUGUCUGGGAAACUGCCUGAUGGAGGGGGAUAACUACUGGAAACGGUAGCUAAUACCGCAUAACGUCGCAAGACCAAAGAGGGGGACCUUCGGGCCUCUUGCCAUCAGAUGUGCCCAGAUGGAUUAGCUUGUAGGUGGGGUAACGGCUCACCUAGGCGACGAUCCCUAGCUGGUCUGAGAGGAUGACCAGCCACACUGGAACUGAGACACGGUCCAGACUCCUACGGGAGGCAGCAGUGGGGAAUAUUGCACAAUGGGCGCAAGCCUGAUGCAGCCAUGCCGCGUGUAUGAAGAAGGCCUUCGGGUUGUAAAGUACUUUCAGCGGGGAGGAAGGGAGUAAAGUUAAUACCUUUGCUCAUUGACGUUACCCGCAGAAGAAGCACCGGCUAACUCCGUG
rnacentral:rRNA from 1 species